UACAGAGGGUGCAAGCGUUAAUCGGAAUUACUGGGCGUAAAGCGAGCGUAGUCGGUUAUUUAAGUCGGAUGUGAAAUCCCCGGGCUCAACCUGGGAAUUGCAUUCGAUACUGGAUAGCUAGAGUUCGGCAGAGGGAAGCGGAAUUUCUGGUGUAGCGGUGAAAUGCGUAGAUAUCUGGAGGAACACCGGUGGCGAAGGCGGCAUCCUGGGCCGGUAUUGACGCUGAGGAGCGAAAGCCAGGGGAGCAAACGGG
rnacentral:rRNA from 1 species